AUGGACAUCCGGCCGGCACCGCGGCUCACUAGGCUAAUCCUCCGCCUUGCGGCGCAGGCACACCGGGUUCUAGUCCCGGUCGGGGUGCUGGAUUCUGUCCCGGUUGCCCCUCUUUCAGGCCAGCUCUCUGCUGUGGCCAGGGAGUGCAGUGGAGGAUGGCCCAGGUGCUUGGGCCCUGCACCCCAUGGGAGACCAGGAGAAGCACCUGGCUCCUGCCAUCGGAUCAGUGUGAUGCGGCGCCGACCAUGGCGGCCAUUGGAGGGUGAACCAAUGGCAAAAGGAAGACCUUUCUCUCUGUCUCUCUCUCUCACUGUCCACUCUGCCUGUCAAAAAAAAAAAAUUAAUUUACUUACUUACUUGAGAGAGGGGGAGGGAAGAAUUUCAGGGGUGAGGAGAGGACACCAAAUGCCCCAAAUGCAGGCUGGGCCUGGCCCAGUUCAAGGCUGGGAGCCAUCACCUGCUACCUCCCAGGGUCUACACUCGCAGGAGGCUGGGUCAGGGGUUGGAACCUGGUGCCCUGACGUGGACACAGGCAUCCUAACUGGUGUCCUCACUCCUGGGCCAGAUGCCAGCCCUGAGCUUUUGUUUGUCAUCCCAUUUUUUCACAAACUCUUUGAAGUCCUCAUGACGUAUCACAGCACCAGGUUUCUCACCUGUCUUUGCAGCUCUCCAGAACUGGACUUCAUGCCACAUCAGGGCUGUGGUUUUACAGCCAAAGACCCUGGGGCCUCAACUGUGCGACCAGGAGGGCCUCUCAAAAGCCAUGCACCCCGGGACAGGCAGGGGGAGACGUCUGAAUUGGAACCUAGAACACAUUCUGGCUCAAGGCACGCAGAGAGGAAUGUCCGACCUGAGUUGCUGACAUCACCCAACAUCUACGAAACCUGCAGCAGCAGAGGCUCCUUCCUUCAUUCAGAAUGGAAGCAACGACGUUCUGUGUGUGGCAGCUGGAGAGUCCUGGCUGUGUGCUCCAGGAUCCCCUGUGGCCCUGGCCAUGCAGGCAGAAGCUGGCGCACGUGUGAUCACUGCUCUCAUUGCUGCUGCUUGUUGAGAGACCAAGCAGGAACUAGGUUUGGACCUCCAUUUCCCUAA
rnacentral:lncRNA from 1 species